GCUAAGUCUGGGCCAGCAGCCGGGGUAAUACAGAUGGUGCGAGCGGUAAUCGGAUUUACUGGGCGUAAAGCGUGCGUAGGCGGCUUUUUAAGUCGGAUGUGAAAUCCCUGAGCUUAACUUAGGAAUUGCAUUCGAUACUGGGAAGCUAGAGUAUGGGAGAGGAUGGUAGAAUUCCAGGUGUAGCGGUGAAAUGCGUAGAGAUCUGGAGGAAUACCGAUGGCGAAGGCAGCCAUCUGGCCUAAUACUGACGCUGAGGUACGAAAGCAUGGGGAGCAAACAGGAUUAGAUACCCUAGUAGUC
rnacentral:rRNA from 1 species